CCUACGGGAGGCAGCAGUGGGGGAUAUUGCACAAUGGGGGAAACCCUGAUGCAGCAACGCCGCGUGAGGUAUGAAGGCCUUUGGGUUGUAAGCCUCUGUCCUAGGGGAAGAAAAAAAUGACGGUACCCGAGGAGGAAGCCCCGGCUAACUACGUGCCAGCAGCCGCGGUAAUACGUAGGGGGCAAGCGUUAUCCGGAAUUAUUGGGCGUAAAGAGUGCGUAGGUGGUCUACUAAGCGCGAGGUGAAAGGCAAUGGCUCAACCAUUGUUAGCCUUGCGAACUGGCAGACUUGAGUGCAAGAGAGGAAAGCGGAAUUCCUAGUGUAGCGGUGAAAUGCGCAGAUAUUAGGAGGAACACCGGCGGCGAAGGCGGCUUUCUGGAUUGUAACUGACACUGAGGCACGAAAGCGUGGGUAGCAAACAGGAUUAGAUACCCCAGUAGUC
rnacentral:rRNA from 1 species